UGAAAAUACAUGUACCGACAGUACGACAGCAGUGCUGGUACCGACUUGGUACCGAAGUACCGAGUACCGUGACAACCCUAAUGUAGGCUCCACUUCU